GACGAACGCUGGCGGCGUGCUUAACACAUGCAAGUCGAGCGGAGCGGCGAACGGGUGAGUAACGCGUGAGUAACUGCCCCCCUCUCUGGGAUAACAGUUGGAAACGGCUGCUAAUACCGGAUAGUGGGGGAUGACUCGCGUCCAAUCAGCUUGUUGGUGGGGUAGUGGCCUACCAAGGCGACGACGGGGAGCUGGCCGGGGAGGGCGACCGGCCACAUGGGGCUGCGGUACGGACCAAACUCCUAUGGGGGGCAGCGGGCGAGAAUAUUGCCCAAUGGGGGAAACCCUGAUGCAGCGACGCCGCGUGCGGGAUGACGGCCUUCGUGUUGUAAACCGCUUUCAGCUAUGACGCGGUAGUGGCAGAAGAAGCACCGGCUAACUACGUGCCAGCAGCCGCGGUAAUUC
rnacentral:rRNA from 1 species